GGGCCUGUAGCUCAGCAAGGCAGAGCAUCGGGCUUUUAACCCGGUGGUCAGGGGUUCGACUCCCCUCAGGCCCG
rnacentral:tRNA from 1 species